rnacentral:rRNA from 1 species
AUACGGAGGGUGCAAGCGUUAAUCGGAAUUACUGGGCGUAAAGAGUACGUAGGUGGUUUAUUAAGUCAGAUGUGAAAGCCCCGGGCUUAACCUGGGAACUGCAUUUGAAACUGGCAAACUAGAGUAUGGUAGAGGUGGGUAGAAUUCAUAGUGUAGCGGUGAAAUGCGUAGAUAUUAUGAGGAAUACCAGUGGCGAAGGCGGCCCGCUGGACCAAUACUGACACUGAGGUACGAAAGCGUGGGGAGCGAACAGGAUUAGAAACCCUAGUAGUCC